GGAACAAGAUUUUUCUUAUUUGCGACCGACUAUUCUCGGGGCAUGUACAGCGAAGUUUUUUACGAUGCAUAUGCAACUAUAAACGAUUUGAAAAGUAAAUUAGUGUAUCCUCGCUUAUCUAAUUAUGAUGAAAUAAUUAAUAUAAUGGAAACAUAUAAAUGUGCCUGGUAUUGGAACUGUGGUAUUAGGGUUCGUGGUUGGAUCAUAUCACCUCAGAGUGGAAAUCACAUAUUUUACACCUCGUGCGAUGAUUUCUGUUUACUCUACUUAAGCGAUAAUAAUGACCCCUCAAAUGCUCGCCUCAUUGUUUCUCAAAGUACGUAUACAGACCCCAAUGACUGGUUUCGUUAUCCAUCUAUGCAAACAUCUAGCUUAACGUAUUUGAAAGAAAAUUGUAGUUAUUAUAUAGAAGCCGUAAAUUUUAAUUCGAAUGGUCCUGGUUUUUUGUCCAUGGCCGUAAAAAUGCCGAAUAAUGCUAUGAAUGGACCAUUACCUAAUGGCAUGAUGUGCUUUAUGAAAAAAUGUUAUUCUUGCAAUUCAAGUAACACGGAAAUGUGCACAUUUGUUGAUACGCAAUAUUCUAUUUGCACAUGUCAAAAUGGUUUUCACAUUGUUAAUGACCACUGUGAAGAUAUAAAUGAGUGCAUUGAUGGAACUCAUGAUUGCAAUUUAACCGAUAUGUAUUGUAUCAACCUACAAGGUGGUUAUAACUGCUAUUGUAUUGAUACAUGUUUUGAUUUGGUUUCUAAUUCUCAAGAAAAAAGGUGUAAAAAAAAAAGCUCCUCAGACGACAUCUGUGCACCAAAUUUCACUAUGAACUUCAUUGGAUCCAGAGAAGGAGUAUCAUUAUCAUUGAUAUUGGAAAUAUUCUACUUUACUAAUUUUACAACGGAUGCUCAUAAUUUUACAAUUGAAUACUUUUUACCUCAAUUUGUAUUUAUUUUGUCUGAAAGUUUUAGUCCUGGAUUUUCAUGGAUCGAAAAGAUGAAAUACAUUCAUAGAGAACCAAUAACGCAUAACAGGAGCCUUUACCACAAGAUAAAUGCUUCAAUUGAUUAUGAUUUGUGUCCAUUUGAAGAAUUUACUAUCGAAAUACCAGUAAAAAUUACUGGUAUUUCGAUAGUAAAAUUGCUUGGGAAAACUUGGAGCUUCUUUGAAAAAUAUAUAAACAAAACUAAGAUUCAGAAAUCUAAACUUCUAAAGAUUGUUAAAAGCCCUCAGGCUCUUCCAGAAAGUUAUGGUCGUGGUAUAUAUUAUGAUGAAAAAAGUUCAGUUGUUUAUAUCUGUUUAAACCAAUAUGUUGCAAGCACUUCGAAAGCCUGCUACCGAUCAAACAACUAUGGAAUGUCAUGGGCAGGUGUAGACAUCACAGUUGGAUCUAUUAUUGGCCACCAUAUGUUAACGAACGAGUUGUAUGCUGUACAUCGCAACCAAAAAAUGUACUUGGUGUUUCAUGGCUACUAUAAGAAAUGGCUUGCAAUAUCUAAUAAAGAUUUUUUAAACAAAUCAAAAGACAUUAUUUUUAACAGUUGGAAAAAUUUAGAAAGUGAUAAUGUUGAAGAAUUUAAGUUGUGUUCAAAACAAUGGAUGGGUAACACAUAUGGCUUGUUUUAUCGAAGCAUUACUUCCGACAUAUGGUAAUUGCGCUUUAUUAGUGAACCACUAUUUGCAAAGAUCUUUGAUUUUGUAACAUCUGUAACACGAAAUAUAUUGUUAUUGUUGU